rnacentral:snoRNA from 1 species
GGCCUCUCCCAUGGAGCUGUGGAGGGUGUGUUUUCUCCUCAGCCAGGACUGAAGGCCAAGAUCAGCCCUUGAGGUCCAUUGUCGGGGCUGCCACGAGCUGGCAGCCUUGUUUACCUACCUCAGACAUUU